AUCCGUGAGAACGGUGUUUAGUUUGAGUGGUUAAAUGUCGAUAUCCGUGAGAAUGGUGUUUAGUUUGUGUGGUUAAAUGUCGAUAUCCGUGAGAACGGUGUUUAGUUUGCGUGGUUAAAUGUUGAUAUCCGUGAGAAUGGUAUUUACUUUGCGUGGUUAAAUGUCGAUAUCCCUGAGAAUGGUAUUUGCUUUGCGUGGUUAAAUGUCGAUAUCUGUGAGAAUGGUAUUUACUUUGCGUGGUUAAAUGUCAAUAUCCGUGAGAACGGUGUUUAGUUUGCGUGGUUAAAUGUCGAUAUCCGUGAGAAUGGUAUUUACUUUGCGUGGUUAAAUGUCGAUAUCCGUGAGAAUGGUAUUUGCUUUGCGUGGUUAAAUGUCGAUAUCCGUGAGAAUGGUGUUUAGUUUGCGUGGUUAAAUAUCUAUAUCCGUGAGAAUGGUAUUUACUUUGAGUGGUUAAAUGUCGAUAUCCGUGAGAACAGUGAUGAUACUAAGGUGUCUGAAUCAGUCGUAAGACAUAAGACAGAAUAUCAGAUUCUUAUUUUAAGAGAGUCAUUCAGCACUUCAUUAAUUUCAAUACAGAAGUAGUUCUCACUUUUAUUGGAUAAAUUUAAUCAGCUCCGUCCAGGCGAGCGAGCUGAACAAGUGCCCGGAUGAUCCCAUUGAUCGCAUGCCUCUCUCGUCCUAUAUAAUCCCUGUCAGACGAUUCUCGUGUCAUCUUUAGCGAGCAGUAGUUGUGCGGACACUACACGAGGGACUAUAGCGGUGACACACAAUGAAGGCGCGGAUCCUGUUGUUUGCUUCGUUACUUUGUGCUUUGAUUCACGACGUAUACGGGAAGAAUUCAGUGUUUGAAGACAAUCCCCUUUCCAUCUCUUCAAACAUGGAACUACCAAAUCUGUUAACUACGGUCAACAAACGACUACGAUUCAACACGGGAAAGAAUUUCUUCCAUGGGGGUCACCAUUACAACCGCUUUGUAGACUGGAGGACUCUGUUCGAAAAGAGAAGUUUUGGUGAUGCUGACAUAAACGGAUUUCAAGAUACGAAAAAUCCAUUAAGAUCUUAUUAUCAAAACUGGAACGACAGGUUUUGGCCUCUAAAGAAAAACAACAGAAACUAAUUGUAAUCAUUUCUCGUUCUUAAUUGACAUCUGCCACAGAUCUGGAUGCCUCUCUAAAAAUUACAUCCUUUUCUUGGUUUCAUAUCGCCAUCAAAGUGAUUAUUCGUUUGUCUAACGAGAUCUCGCGUUGUCAGUUUUGUUUUGAGUGAAGUCACGAAGCGUGCGUUUAUCUCGCCUAACUCGUUAUUCCUGUUAAAUUUUCCAGCAUGAAAUAUCUACAAUAAUAGAAACACUGUUUCGAUGACAUUAAACACGCUUUGUUCUUCACACUACCUAUGUAAUACAUGUAAAAAUAAAACAUUCCUGGAUACUUUUUUCCAAAUCCAAAA